GAUGAACGCUGGCGGCGUGCCUAAUACAUGCAAGUCGAGCGGACGGACGAGACUCUUGCUGCUCGGAUGUUAGCCGCGGACGUGUGAGUCACACGUGUAUAAUCUACCUAUAAUUCUGAUAUCACUUCGACAAUCCGGAGCUUACCGCGUAUAAUAUCCUGCACCGCAUGGUUCGAAAGUGAGAUACGGUGUUUGUGUCACUUAUAGAUGCAUCCGCGCUUGUUUAGCUAGUUGUUAAGGUAACGGCCUACCAAGGGAACGAGGCAUAGCCGACCUGCGAGAGUGAUCGGCCACCUUGGAGCUGAGACGCGGUCCAGACUACUAAGAGACGGCGCAGUAGGGUAUCUUACGCAAUGGGGGAAAGCCUGACGGAGCAGCGCCGCGUGAGUGAUGAAGGUGUUCGGAUCGUAAAACUGGGUUAUUAGGGAAGAACCUAUGUGUAAGUAACUGUGCAGAGAUUGACGGUACUUAGUAAGAAAGCCACGGCUAACUACGUG
rnacentral:rRNA from 1 species